rnacentral:rRNA from 1 species
GUACACUCCUGCGGGAGGCAGCAGUAGGGAAUCUUCCACAAUGGGUGCAAACCUGAUGGAGCAAUGCCGCGUGAGUGAAGAAGGUCUUCGGAUCGUAAAGCUCUGUUGUUAGAGAAGAACACGUGCUAGGUAACUACUAGCGCCUUGACGGUAUCUAACCAGAAAGUCACGGAUAACUACGUGCCAGCAGCCGCGGUAAUACGUAGGUGACAAGCGUUGUCCGGAUUUAUUGGGCGUAAAGGGAGCGCAGGCGGUCUGUUUAGUCUAAUGUGAAAGCCCACGGCUUAACCGUGGAACGGCAUUGGAAACUGACAGACUUGAAUGUAGAAGAGGAAAAUGGAAUUCCAAGUGUAGCGGUGGAAUGCGUAGAUAUUUGGAGGAACACCAGUGGCGAAGGCGAUUUUCUGGUCUAACAUUGACGCUGAGGCUCGAAAGCGUGGGGAGCGAACAGGAUUAGAAACCCGGGUAGUCCCAUG